rnacentral:rRNA from 1 species
AGUGAACGCUGGCGGUAGGCCUAACACAUGCAAGUCGAACGGCAGCACAGUAAGAGCUUGCUCUUACGGGUGGCGAGUGGCGGACGGGUGAGGAAUACAUCGGAAUCUACUUUUUCGGGGGGGAUAACGUAGGGAAACUUACGAUAAUACCGCAUACGACCUACGGGUGAAAGCAGGGGAUCUUCGGACCUUGCGCGAUUGAAUGAGCCGAUGUCGGAUUAGCUAGUUGGGGGGGUAAAGGCCCACCAGGGCGAGGAUCCGUAGCUGGUCUGAGAGGAUGAUCGGCCACAUUGGAAGUGGGCCACGGUCCAGACGGCUACGGUAGGCCGCAGUGGGGAAUAGUGGACAAUGGGCGGAAGUCUGACCCAGCCAUACCGCGUGGGUGAAGAAGGCCUUCGGGUUGUAAAGCCCUUUUGUUGGGAAAGAAAAGCAGCAGGUUGAUACCCCGCUGUUCUGACGGUACCGAAAGAAGAAGCACCGGCUAACUUCGUG